AGCGAACGCUGGCGGCAGGCCUAACACAUGCAAGUCGAACGAAGUCUUCGGACUUAGUGGCGGACGGGUGAGUAACACGUGGGAACGUGCCUUUAGGUUCGGAAUAACUCAGGGAAACUUGUGCUAAUACCGAAUGUGCCCUUCGGGGGAAAGAUUUAUCGCCUUUAGAGCGGCCCGCGUCUGAUUAGCUAGUUGGUGGGGUAAUGGCCCACCAAGGCUACGAUCAGUAGCUGGUCUGAGAGGAUGACCAGCCACAUUGGGACUGAGACACGGCCCAAACUCCUACGGGAGGCAGCAGUGGGGAAUCUUGCGCAAUGGGCGAAAGCCUGACGCAGCCAUGCCGCGUGGAUGAUGAAGGUCUUAGGAUUGUAAAAUCCUUUCACCGGUGAAGAUAAUGACUGUAGCCGGAGAAGAAGCCCCGGCUAACUUCGUGCCAGCAGCCGCCGUAA
rnacentral:rRNA from 1 species